ACGCACCAGAUACUAGCCUGACAGUCUACUUCGUCCCAGAUGUCUUGCACACUGGGAUUUUCUAUGGCUGCAUGGGUUCAGACGGUGCGAGAACAACAUCAGCCCCGAGAUUUAAGCUUUUCAGUGGGAAGCAUCACUGUUGAGUUAUGGCUCAGGGCACAGAA
rnacentral:snoRNA from 1 species